AUCAACCGGAUAACCCAUCUAUGGGUAUUCCAGUUCUGUUUUCUUUUGUCUUAUUAUAUAUGCUUUUGGUUUAAGACUAGCAGUAAUAUGCAUUAUGAUUGAAUUUCAUGUCUGGAUGCUAAAUCCCAGAUCCGUGCUCCCGAAUGGCUCAUCUUUUCUGAAGAAGGACAAUGGAUGGUGGUCAGAAACUCUAAAGCAGCUCGUCUCAUAAUGGUUUUCUUGGACACCAACCAUACUAAUGCCACCAUGGAUGAGAUUAAGAAGGAUUUGUCUCCACUGGUUAAACAAUUGGAACCUAAUGGAAAUGAGAGUGGAGCUCUAAUACAGUUCGUAUCCUAUCAGCUAAUAAAAAUAAUGAAAAAUGAACCGGAAAACGUAUAAAAGGGUUUUCCGAAAAUCCCAACCAUUGUAAACCGGAGAACACGAAGGUGAUUUAUCCGGUGUGUAUCACAAGAACCGGAGAAUAAGCUUAAGCGUUUUCCGGUUGCGCUUUCUUUAGCAAAAAUCCCGAAUUACUCACUUGUUGGUGUUAAAACCAGAAAUCCUUUGGCUUGGUUCUUCGGUUUGUAAAAAUUUCCUCCAAAAUCCACCGUGUAAAAAAAAUAAUUUUUUUUAUUUAUAUAAGGGUAUUUUGGUCCAAAUA